AGUGAACGCUGGCGGUAGGCCUAACACAUGCAAGUCGAACGGCAGCACAGUAAGAGCUUGCUCUUACGGGUGGCGAGUGGCGGACGGGUGAGGAAUACAUCGGAAUCUACUUUUUCGUGGGGGAUAACGUAGGGAAACUUACGCUAAUACCGCAUACGACCUACGGGUGAAAGCAGGGGAUCUCCGGACCUUGCGCGAUUGAAUGAGCCGAUGUCGGAUUAGCUAGUUGGCGGGGUAAAGGCCCACCAAGGCGACGAUCCGUAGCUGGUCUGAGAGGAUGAUCAGCCACACUAGAACUGAGACACGGUCCAGACUCCUACGGGAGGCAGCAGUGGGGAAUAUUGGACAAUGGGCGCAAGCCUGAUCCAGCCAUACCGCGUGGGUGAAGAAGGCCUUCGGGUUGUAAAGCCCUUUUGUUGGGAAAGAAAAGCAGCAGGUUAAUACCCCGCUGUUCUGACGGUACCCAAAGAAUAAGCACCGGCUAACUUCGUG
rnacentral:rRNA from 1 species